UCGAACGCAGUAGCAAUACUGAAGUGGCAGACGGGUGAGUAACAUGUGGGAAUCUGCCUUGUGGUUCAGGACAACAUUGGGAAACCGAUGCUAAUACUGGAUAAGCCCUUACGGGGAAAGUUUUAAUGCCAUAAGAUGAGCCCGCAUUUGAUUAGUUAGUUGGUGAGGUAAUGGCUCACCAAGACAAUGAUCAAUAGCUGAUCUGAGAGGAUGAUCAGCCACACUGGGACUGAGACACGGCCCAGACUCCUACGGGAGGCAGCAGUGGGGAAUCUUGCACAAUGGAGGAAACUCUGAUGCAGCGAUGCCGCGUGAGUGAAGAAGGCCUUUGGGUUGUAAAGCUCUUUUGUAGGGGAAGAUAAUGACUGUACCCUAAGAAUAAGGUCCGGCUAACUUCGUGCCAGCAGCCGCGGUAAUACGAAGGGACCUAGCGUAGUUCGGAAUUACUGGGCGUAAAGCGCGCGUAGGCCGUUAAGUUAGUUAAUUGUGAAAUCCCAAAGCUUAACUUUGGAACUGCAAUUAAAACUGCUCGACUAGAGUUUGAUAGAGGAAAGCGGAAUACAUAGUGUAGAGGUGAAAUUCGUAGAUAUUAUGUAGAACACCAGUUGCGAAGGCGGCUUUCUGGAUCAACACUGACGCUGAGGCGCGAAAGUAUGGGUAGCAAAGAGGAUUAGAUACCCUCGUAGUCCAUACCAUAAACGAUGAUUGCUAGAUGUUGGAAAUUUAUU
rnacentral:rRNA from 1 species